rnacentral:rRNA from 1 species
GACGUAGGGGGCCAGCGUUGUUCGGAAUUACUGGGUGUAAAGGGUUCGUAGGCGGUGCGGCAAGUUGGGAGUGAAAUCUCUGGGCUUAACCCAGAGGCUGCUUCCAAAACUGCUGUGCUUGAGUGUGGGAGAGGCGCGUGGAAUUGCAGGUGUAGCGGUGAAAUGCGUAGAUAUCUGCAGGAACACCCGUGGCGAAAGCGGCGCACUGGACCACUUCUGACGCUGAGGCGCGAAAGCUAGGGGAGCAAACAGG